rnacentral:rRNA from 1 species
UACGUAGGGUGCAAGCGUUAAUCGGAAUUACUGGGCGUAAAGCGCGCGUAGGCGGUUUGUUAAGUCAGCUGUGAAAGCCCCGGGCUCAACCUGGGAACUGCAGUUGAUACUGGCCGACUGGAGUACGAGAGAGGGAGGUAGAAUUCCAUGUGUAGCGGUGAAAUGCGUAGAUAUAUGGAGGAAUACCGGUGGCGAAGGCGGCCUCCUGGCUCGAUACUGACGCUGAGGUGCGAAAGCGUGGGGAUCAAACAGG